GGCUGCUGCAGUGGGACUGGGGACAGAUUUGACACACUGCUAUGUCAAAGAGAAGCUGGGUGUUCUAUGGGGACAGCACUACCAUUACCCCGGACCCUUGGGGCUUCUGCCCACACCCCAGAGCUUUGGAGGAUCUCCCAUAUCACACACAUUCACACAGGCACGUGCACACACAUACGGUUCAUUAAAUAACACAGAAGCACCUCUGUCCAGUGGGAUCUGGUGCCUGGUUCUGGCACAGAAUGACCCACAGCCCUAAACAUCCCUGAACGACCAACGCUGUUCAGACCCCAGGGGAACAGUUCUUCCCUCUUGUGCCCUAUCCUUGGAUCGCGUUGGGUGGCCAGAUGUUUUGUGAGUAGCAUAGGGAGAGAUGCUUCUCUAACGGUGAGCAAAUGGGGUGCUGCUCCUCGGGAGUGAGUGGUCUUCACUGUCGCCCAGGUGCCCUUUGGAGGUCCAUCUCACUCUCUCCCAGGAGGCGCUACUCUCCAAAUGGUUCCUUCGAGCACACCCAGCACUCCCUCUGACACAGUACACUUUUCUCCAUCUUCUUCCAUGUCAAGGAUGGGUUAGUACCUCUCUGGAUGGAGGGUCUGGACAGCCCUCCCUAUCCUGCCCCUCCAUCUGGCCCGGGUAUCUUGUAAGGAGAAGUUUGGCAGGAAAUAGAAAAGCAAUCAGGGCCACACAGGAUGAUGGGGAAAUAUUUGUCCUGGCUUGACCGCUUGCUAGCUGUGUGACCUCGGGCCAGUUACUUAACUUCUCUGUGCCUCAAUUUCCCCAUCUGUAAAAUGCGGAUACUGAUGAUUGCUACUUUAUCAGGUUGUUAAGAGGAUUAAAUCAGCGUGCAGUUGUGAAAUGCUUGUUAUAAGAAACAAACUUGCUUCUAAGAGUCGGCCAGUCGUAACACCACUACCAUCAGUGUAUUGACAAGCUGGGGUAGGGAGAAAAGACAGAUUCUUGCAUUACAGAAGUACCUCCAGGGGGCGCCUGGGUGGCUCCGUUGGUUAAGAGUCCGACUGGAUUUUGACUCAGGUCAUGAUAGAGGGUCAUGGGAUUGAGCCCCUUGUCGGUCUCCGUGCUGGGCGUAGAGCCUGGUUAACAUUCUCUCUCCCUCUCCCCCUGCUCCUUUCCCCCAUUUGCUCUCUCUUUCCCUCUCUAAAAUAAAAUUUAAAAAAGAAAAGAAAAAAGAAAUACUUCUGGGAUUUUAGGAUACAUCCCACUUCUAAAGACAUCAAAAUGCAGAAAUAUGUAGAUAGUAGGUUCAAGAAAAUAGAUACUUUCCCCAUUUGGAUGGAUAAGGAAGCAAAUGGCUCAGAGAGGUCAGGUGAACGGUGAGGUUUAGAUGAUUGGGGAAACGCACCCACUGUAAAUGAUUCGGUUCCAAGAAAGCCACUUUAUAAUUGUCUCUCCCUUGAGGCCAGGGCUGAGCUCUGUGCCUGAUGACUAAUCUGUGAGCUUCUACGUGAACGGCCACGAAGAAUACACUGGCAGAGCAAAUGAUCCUAAUUAGGAACUUUGUGUUUGGGCUGAGGAAACACUCAAAAAGAUUUGCUCAAGUUCAGAUCCUGUUCUGUCGUCGUGGACAAUUUAUGUAACCUCUUUGGACUUGGCUUCCCUCAUCUGAAGAACCAGCAGAGUAACACGUGUCUCAGGAGAGCUGUGCAUGAGAUGAAAACGUAUCACUCUCAACAGGGCUCCCUCUCACGCUCUCCAGCCUGCCAGACUUUACACUAGAAGGACACCAUCAGCUCUCCUGGGUCUUGAAUUGGCCAACUCACUCUGCAGAUCCUGGGACUUGCCAACGAUCAUAAUCAUUAUAGGUAAGAAAUGCUCGUAUUGAAGCACUGUCCGCAAGGGCCAAAAGACGGAAACAACCCAGAUGUCCAUCAGAGGAUGAGCAGAGAACAAAAAUGCGGUAUAUCCAUACAGUAGAAUAUGAGUGAGUCAUAAAAAAGAAUGAAGUACUGUAUGGAAACAUAUACCACAAGGGGAAACCUUGAAAUCAUGAUACAUGAAAGAAGUCAAUCACAGAAGACGUAAUCAACUGAAGAUGAGCUCAUUCAUGUGGGCCCUCAUCCACUAUGACUGGCGUCCUUAUAAAAAGAUGUGCGGAGACACACGGGAGAAAGAAUGCCACGUGACUAAAGAGGCAGAGACCACGGUGCUCCAGCCAGAAGCCGAGGAAUGCCUGGGGCCACCAGAAACUGAUCAGGGCCUAGAGGAGCCAGGAGGUCAGAGGUCAGAGGAAGCACGCAGGUCCAACUUCGAGGCGGUACUGCUUCCCUGAUGAGGCAGGAGGGAGGUUGUCCACGCUGACGAUGGGCAGCUGCUGCGGGU